UACGUAGGUGGCAAGCGUUAUCCGGAUUUAUUGGGCGUAAAGCGAGCGCAGGCGGUUUUUUAAGUCUGAUGUGAAAGCCCUCGGCUUAACCGAGGAAGCGCAUCGGAAACUGGGAAACUUGAGUGCAGAAGAGGACAGUGGAACUCCAUGUGUAGCGGUGAAAUGCGUAGAUAUAUGGAAGAACACCAGUGGCGAAGGCGGCUGUCUGGUCUGUAACUGACGCUGAGGCUCGAAAGCAUGGGUAGCGAACAGG
rnacentral:rRNA from 3 species